UUUACAAUGGAGAGUUUGAUCCUGGCUCAGGAUGAACGCUAGCGGCAGGCCUAAUACAUGCAAGUCGAACGGUCAGUAGCAAUACUGAUAGUGGCGCACGGGUGCGUAACACGUAAC
rnacentral:rRNA from 1 species